rnacentral:rRNA from 2 species
ACGGGUUAGCCUCCAGGCGAGACGGGUAGCCGGCCUGAGAGGGCGACCGGCCACACUGGGACUGAGACACGGCCCAGACUCCUACGGGAGGCAGCAGUGGGGAAUAUUGCACAAUGGGCGAAAGCCUGAUGCAGCGACGCCGCGUGAGGGAUGACGGCCUUCGGGUUGUAAACCUCUUUCAGCAGGGAAGAAGCGCAAGUGACGGUACCUGCAGAAGAAGCGCCGGCUAACUACGUGCCAGCAGCCGCGGUAAUACGUAGGGCGCAAGCGUUGUCCGGAAUUAUUGGGCGUAAAGAGCUCGUAGGCGGCUUGUCACGUCGGAUGUGAAAGCCCGGGGCUUAACCCCGGGUCUGCAUUCGAUACGGGCUAGCUAGAGUGUGGUAGGGGAGAUCGGAAUUCCUGGUGUAGCGGUGAAAUGCGCAGAUAUCAGGAGGAACACCGGUGGCGAAGGCGGAUCUCUGGGCCAUUACUGACGCUGAGGAGCGAAAGCGUGGGGAGCGAACAGGAUUAGAUACCCUGGUAGUCCACGCCGUAAACGUUGGGAACUAGGUGUUGGCGACAUUCCACGUCGUCGGUGCCGCAGCUAACGCAUUAAGUUCCCCGCCUGGGGAGUACGGA